UGUCAGUUAAAAUCUCUAAGUGUUCUUGUUGCGAAGAAGAAGAAGAAGAAUGUGCAACCUGUGAUUUGGAGUCUUGCGAGUACGCAAUUUGCAAGACAUGCUUGGAACAACAAAAAAAUUACGGGGCAUUAGAAUCUCACUUAUCCGGGCCACAGCACAAGGAAGCUUAUUCGAUAUGGUUGGAGACACUAGCACAUAUCUCUACAUGUAUGCCCCCAGCUAAUCAGCCUUGCACCAUUCGUUCGUGCAUGCGUGGUAGAGAGCUCAUAACACAUCUCAAGGAUUGCCCAAAGAAACUUUCAGGUAAGUGUAUGAGGUGUGAAAUUAUUUGGGUGGGAGUGUGUGCCCAUGCAAGCCAUUGCACUAAUCGCAACUGCCUUAUUCCACAGUGCAGGCAUGUCGCAGAGUACAAGAGGUCAAAAGGGUGAUGGAGAACUGAGAGCAGUCUUUGCGAUUAGCGUUGGACUAAAACGA